UUUUAGGUGGUGAAUCCCAGCUGGUUAAGGUAAGCAGAGGCAAUUGCCAUCAGGUCUUAGCAGUGCUAUGCAAUGUGUUCCUGUUCAUUCCUUGUUGUCGUUUUGUGUUGUGUGUGUUUCUUUUAGGUGGCAAAUCCGAGCUGGGUAAGGUAAGCAGAGGCGAUUUUGCCAUCAGGUCUUCCCAGUGCUAUGCAAUGAGUUCCUUUUCAUUCUUCUUGUGUAUGUGUGUGUUUGUUUUAGGUGGCAAAUCCCAGCUGCUUAAGGUAAGCAGAUGCAAUUGCCAUCAGGUCUUGCCUGUGCUAUGCAGUGUGUUCCUUUUCAUUGGGGGUGUUGUUGGGCCUCGUGGGGUGCAAGGUCUCCAUCUGAUUGAUUCUAGCCCUGUUUAGGGGUGCCAGUCGCUCUGGCCUCAUAACUCCUGAGGUCUUGGCAAUGUCCUAGGCUAAUGCCUCCACAGGCGUUCCUUUGCCUCUGUCACCUGCUGCAGACAUGACUUCCAAGAGCUGUCUGCCUCUUGACAGCUCUCAGCCGUCUGCCCCUCAUCACGGGCCAGGCCAUUUUAUAUAACCCUGAAAUCUCACGGCAACUCUCAUGAGACCUGGCGAUCUCACUAGUGAUCUCGCGAGAGUUUGGAGUGUGAUCUUGCAACAUGCUAACAACGUCCCACGAGACCACGGCAGUGUCGGGUGACACUAGGUUACCCGACCACGGGAGCCAGUAGGGCCUGCCGGUCUCAGCAGGUGGGGGUUGGGACCCGUCUGAGGGCGCAGCAUUCCCGCCCUGGUUGGGAACGUUCCCACCGGAACCCUCUGGACAUGGGAGGUGGGGGCUAGAGAUAUUGGGACCCUGACAGGUGUGUACGAAUGGUUCAAUAGUAAACUGGUCUGCUGCGAACCAGGCUGGUUCGAUGGUUUGAUCGUGAACCAGACAGGCCUUCAGGAAAGGUGGUCCAGUCCAAGAUCAAGCCAAAUCAGCCCUGACCAGCAGCGCCACAAUGCUGGUCAGGAAGCCACACUGCUGGUCAGGGAUCAGGACAUGGCUCCCAUGUAGCCGUCCUCUGUGAGAAGUGGCUACAUGCAUGGGAUGGCCAAUGGGGUCUGUGUGGUACUGCUGCUUCUUAUGCAGCACACAUGCUUCCCUCCUCCGAACUUUGCAGGCUUUGCGACUCCCGCCCACCCUCCCUAGUUCAGUGAGAGAUUAGCUGGUCGCUUAUGGGCCGAGUAGGAAUUUUUGGUCUUCACCUGAUUGGCUUUGCGUGAAGAUUUUUUCGCCUACUCCUCACUGACUGUCUUUUAAAGGGAGUAGCCCCCUUUUUAGGGGUGGGAGUCUGGUUGCAGGUUAAGUGGUCACUUUGUCAGGUGAGUGUGGGCUUUGGAGGUUAAGACCUCAAUUGGUGCUCAGCCAUAGGUACCUUUCAGGUAGAGAUGGUUUCAUGUAACAACCUUUCAGGGUUUUGUGGACCAGGGGUGUCUGAGGUGGCCAGAGCCUAAGGGGUAUACUCAUGGGUCAAAUGGGCCGUAA